AUGCAUUUCGCCAUGUCGCCCGACAGCCUCCUCCUCUUCUACGCCGUCGCGGCGGCCGUCACCGCCGCCUUCGGCCUCUUCUCGCUGUACAAGCACCUCUUGCGCCGCCGGCGGCACAACCCCCGCGCGGAGGCUCCGGACGGGGACCCGGAGGAGCGCCUGCCGCUCGCCGUGAUUACGGUGGCGUCGAGCCUUCUCCCACCGUUCAUGUACAACCGGCUCGUCCGGCACAGUGGCAAGGACGACGCCGGCUCGGCGGAGUGCGCGGUCUGCCUCGCCGCCAUCCGGGUCGGCGCCAUGGCGAAGCUGCUGCCGGCGUGCGCCCACGUGUACCACGUCGAGUGCAUCGACCUGUGGCUGGCCUCGCACUCGACGUGCCCUCUCUGCCGGUGCAGGGUCGGCGAUGAUCGCUCGGCUCAGGACCUUGCUUGUCUUUCACCUGCAUAG
rnacentral:rRNA from 1 species